rfam:Gossypium arboreum cultivar AKA8401 contig_59165_1, whole genome shotgun sequence.
CUCAAUGAAGCGCUUUGCCUACGUGGACAGAAAACGCUUCCUUGAGGGCGCGCUUUCUGUCCACGUAGGCAAAGCGCUUC